rnacentral:rRNA from 1 species
GAUGAACGCUGGCGGCGUGCCUAAUACAUGCAAGUCGAGCGAGCGGACGAGAAGCUUGCUUCUCUGAUGUUAGCGGCGGACGUGUGAGUAACACGUGGAUAACCUACCUAUAAGACUGGGAUAACUUCGGGAAACCGGAGCUAAUACCGGAUGAUAUUUUGAACCGCAUGGUUCAAAAGUGAAAGACGGUCUUGCUGUCACUUAUAGAUGGAUCCGCGCUGCAUUAGCUAGUUGGUAAGGUAACGGCUUACCAAGGCAACGAUGCAUAGCCGACCGGAGAGGGUGAUCGGCCACACUGGAACUGAGACACGGUCCAGACUCCUACGGGAGGCAGCAGUAGGGAAUCUGCCGCAAUGGGCGAAAGCCUGACGGAGCAACGCCGCGUGAGUGAUGAAGGUCUUCGGAUCGUAAAACUCUGUUAUUAGGGAAGAACAUAUGUGUAAGUAACUGUGCACAUCUUGACGGUACCUAAUCAGAAAGCCACGGCUAACUACGUG